GGCUGUAUAGUGUAGCGGUUAUCACAGUGGAUUCUGACUUAAUUGGCAUUUCCAUUAACCCCUGUUCGAAUCAGGGUACGGUCA
rfam:Exidia glandulosa HHB12029 unplaced genomic scaffold EXIGLscaffold_1, whole genome shotgun sequence.